rnacentral:lncRNA from 13 species
UCCCCAUAUUCACUCAGUAUUCCCCACAUCACACUACCCAUAUUCAUCCCACACAAUAGACCCAUUGAUCUUGGCAAUCAUGGAUUACAGUCUGCCUGUAUUGUGUUCACCUCUCUCUCUAAAGCCUGAAUUAAAGGAUAAUUGUAGGGUUUAUUGGGUAAAGGGUGGCUGCAGAGAGACGGAGAACACUUAGUUUGUUGUAUACAUUUUUAUUGUAUUUGCUCAUUAAGAUUGAAAUAGUUAUAUUUAAAACCCAAGAAACAAAAACAUAUAUAUAUCUUUUUUUAAGCUAUUCUUGUUUUAAUUAUUCAUUGUGAAAUCUAAAACAAGUGUCCCAGCAGACGGAAACUGUGGUCUGACUUCUUUGGACCGAAGGCUGAAACCCGGAGGUGUUAUGCUGGUGGACAGUUUACACACAGUUCAGUCCAGUUCAUUUCAAUUCUUUGACUGAGUUGCAUUAAACUAGUCUCAUAUUUUAAAUUAAUAAAAAAAAUCACUAAUAAAUUGACAAUUGAAUGUGACCUAAACAUAUCUGCUUUCAUGGCCAUUAGCUGUUCCCAGUAAAUAGAACAUAAAACCAUGAUGAACUACUUAAUACACUUUUAAGAGAUCUGGGUUGCAAGUUACCAACCCAAACAAGUGAUGCUACCCUUAAUUCAAUUAUCAUUUGAUCAUUGAGAACUAUGCUGAAACAGUGUCAGCGCACUGCAAGGGACAUGAUAAAGAAAAACUAAUAGAAGAUAAAACUCUAUUCUGGUUGACAGAUUGAAUCUGAAAAUAAAGCGGCAUCCUUAUGAAUGCAUAUCAGAUAAGUACAAAAUCUGUUAAAUUUCAGUUCAUAAGUCCCUUUCAAAACACGUUAUUUUGACUUAUUCAUGAUAUCCGCAUGUGCUGCUUUAGACAGUCCCAAACUUUUAUAUUUAUCAGGAGUGGAUCCAUUAUAUUUAUCAGGAGUGGAUCCACUGCAUUUAUCAGGAGUGGAUCCAUUAUAUUUAUCAGGAGUGGCUCCAUUAUAUUUAUCAGGAGUGGAUCCAUUAUGUUUAUCAGGAGUGGAUUCAUUAUAUUUAUCAGGAGUGGAUUCAUUAUAUUUAUCAGGAGUGGAUCCAUUAUAUUUAUCAGGAGUGGAUUCAUUAUAUUUAUCAGGAGUGGAUCCAUUGCAUUCAUCAGGAGUGGAUCCAUUAUAUUUAUCAGGAGUGGAUCCAUUAUGUUUAUCAGGAGUGGAUUCAUUAUAUUUAUCAGGAGUGGUUCCAUUUUAUUUAUCAGGAGUGGAUUCAUUAUAUUUAUCAGGAGUGGUUCCAUUUUAUUUAUCAGGAGUGGAUUCAUUAUAUUUAUCAGGAGUGGAUCCAUUAUAUUUUCAGGAGUGGAUCCAUUAUAUUUAUCAGGAGUGGAUCCAUUAUAUUUAUCAGGAGUGGAUCCAUUAUAUUUAUCAGGAGUGGAUCCAUUGCUAAGAUAAAGUCAGGAAGAGCAGAGCUUCCUAUGAUAAUAUUUAUCAUUCCACAAACCUUUGGCUAUAGAGGAGUUUGGAUUUAAUUUGUGUUUUCUUAAGAGGGGGUGCCUCGCGGUACAGGAUGGGGAAUUCUCCUCGAUCCAGGACUUUAGGCUCCUGCUUAUUCACGAUUUAUUAGACUCAAGUAAUAGGAACCAUGAAGGGAGAGGGUUCUGCGAAGCAGAAGGCUGUUCUAAAAAUGGGGCCUAAUGUUAUUAAGAUACGAAACACUGUGUUAAAUCAAACCCCCCAGCACAAACUGCCUUCGGUUUGUGGUCCACUUUUUUUCAUUCCCCAAAUGUUAUUUGUGGGGGUAGAAAUUCAGAUAGGGAUCAGGUUUCUGAUGAUUUAUAUUCAGUCUUUUGCUUCGAUAAAAACUCUGUGGUUGAUGCAGUGUUUGCUCCACAAGUAUAUUUCAGAUAAUUGACUUGGAUAGAGAAUAUUUGGAGACAAUUGGGAAAAAGAGUUAAUAUGUGAGUCCUAUUUCAUUAGAUGAAUACUUGGUUGUUUUCUGAAAUACAAAAUGGUGGGUUGUAAUCUAGCUGCCAAUGCAGUUUCAUGGAAAAUAAACACAAACAGAGAUGGAUUUGCUCAAAACAAUUAUAUUUGAUAGAUAUGAAAUGAAUACUCUUCCUGUGUCUAAACCACAUGCCCUGUAGGCCUAUAGGAAGGAGGGCAUCAUUGAGUACAAUUUCAGCCAAUAUAACUGAAUGAUACUAUCUUCAGUUAACUGAAUAAGUUAAGUACUGUACUAUCACAGUCGGCCGGUAGCCUAGUGGUUAGAGAGGCAAGCCAGAACCUGGAGGAUUGCCAGGUCGGAGCCCGGGUCCGACGUGAAAAACCUGUUGGUAAAUGAGCUGGCAACCUAAGAGUUGCUGGUAUCAAAACCUAGAUGCUGUUGUGCCCGUGAGCAAGGCACUUAUAACCCCCCACAACAGCUGCCCAGUGUGGCAGCCCCCCGCACCUCUCCAAAAACCUUUAUUUGCGUCUUUCAGAGGGGUUGGGUUAAAAGCAAAAGGCAUAUUUUGGUUGGACUGUGUGUGUCUUUCAGAGGGGUUGGGUAUUUUUGGUUGGACUGUGUGUCUUUCAGAGCGGUUGGGUAUUUUUGGUUGGACUGUGUGUCUUUCAGAGCGGUUGGGUAUUUUUGGUUGGACUGUGUGUCUUUCAGAGCGGUUGGGUAUUUUUGGUUGGACUGUGUGUCUUUCAGAG